GGGGCCCGCAGCCCGAAGACACAUUGGUUUUCGCACUCUACCUUUAGUUUAAGUGAAUGGAUCUCUAUGAAAUUUUCCCAUAAGGUUCAAUACCACAAAAGGCAGGUAGGGAUUGAUUUUGGGGGUUAUGGUACCAACAGUUAAGGAAUUAGGGGCCAAAAAGGGGCAAAAAAUAAGCAUUUUUGUAACUUCCAGACAUAACUUGUGUGUUAGUGUAUGGAUCUCUCUGACAUUGAACCACAAGGUUCCAUAUCACAAAGGGAAUGCUGGGAUUGAUUUAAGGGGUAAUUGCCUCAAAAUUUUAGGAAUUAGGGAACAAAAAGGGGCAAAAAACAAGCAUUUUUCUAGUUUCAUGACAAUAACUUGUGUGUAAGUGUAUGGAUCUUUAUGAAAUUGUACUACAAGGUUCCAUAUCACAAAGGGAAAGCUGGAAUUGAGUUUGGGGGUAAUUUCCCAAAACGUUUAGGAAUAAGGGGCCAAAAAUAAGCAUUUUUCUAGUUUCCAGACAAUAACUUGUGUUCAAGUGUAUGGAUCUCUCUGAAAUUUUACUGCAAGGUACCAUACCACAAAGGAAAGGCUGGGAUUGAUUUUGGGGGUAAUUGCCUCAAAAUUUUCGGAAUUUGGGGCCAAAAAGGGGCAAAAAACCAAGCAUAUUUCUAGUUUCAGGACAAUAACUUAUGUGUAAGUGUAUGGAUCUUUAUGAAAUUUUACUACAAGGUUCCAUAUCACAAAGGGAAAGCUGGGUUUGAGUUUUGGAGUAAUUGCACUAAAAGUUUAGGAAUUUGGGGCCAAAAAGAGGCAAAAAAAACAAACAUUUUUCUAGUUUCCAGACAAUAACUUGUGUUCAAGUGUAUGGAUCUCUCUGAAAUUGUACUGCAAGGUACUAUACCACAAAGGGAAGGCUGGGAUUGUGUGUGGGUGAUGAUUCAUAAGGGGGUUCAAAAAAUUUGGGAGUGGAUUUUUUUACCUUUUUUUCCUUUAAAAUUUUCCAUUUAAAAUUGGUUAUUUCUGAUUUAUAUAUAAAAGCAAAUAAUAAUGAUAUGGUUUGAAUAGGUAAAUUAAAAAUUUUUAAGUUCUUAGACCACUUUCAUUCUGUGUCAGAAACCUAUGCUGUGUCAAAUAUUUAAUUACAAUCCAAAUUCAGUGCUGUAUCAAGCUUGAAUGUUGUGUCCAUACUUGCCCCAACUGUUCAGGGUUCGACCUCUGAGGUCGUAUCCAGCUGCGCCCCAGUGGAGCAUUUUAUUGACUUAUAUCUCUGAAACUAAAGCAAAUGUAUAUAGGUUGCAUUAUUUCAUGCAUCAAUGGUAAAUAAAAAUAUCAGGUGAGCGACACAGGCUCCUUGGAGCCUCUAGUUAAAUAUUUACUAGGUGAUUAAUUUGGAAACAUGCAUGGCAUCGACUGUUGCAGAGUUUUCUGGUUUGCUAGUUAUUGGUUCAUGUGUGUGUUCACGGGAUUUAUAAAUGGUAAUUUUAUGUUGCUAUGAGUGGGUUAUCUUCUUUAUGGUCUUUGUUAUUAAUGUGUAUGAUAAAUUUUGUCAUACGCAAUUAUGGAGGAAGUUAAUUCAAGUAUGACUAAUUUAUUGCAUUCAAUGGUUAUGCUUGUAGAUUCUCUUGUUAUUCAAAUGUAUAAUAAGUUUUAAGACAUACAAAUAGGAAAUAUGAAACAGUUAAUUUGUGCAAUAUUUGGACAUUGGGAGGACAAAAUGGAAGCGGGAGUUAUGAUAAAUAAAUAGGAUUGCUAGGGGUUUAAUAUCACCGAAAGAUAGUAAAAUUAACCUGUGUAGAGUUAUGUACACAAUGAGAAAGUGAGAAAUAAAGAAAUCUUUAUUUCUUCCUUUAUUCUUUUUCCUGGCAUUUUCAACAAAAAGUAGUUCAAUCUUAUUUGCUCAUAUUCACAUUUUUGUUAUAUGUUAUGUUUAAAUUGAAUAACUUAAAAGUUUGAUAUUUCAACUUAUUAUUGAUUAAAUCACAAUGGUCUCUUUAUAUUGUACUUUCUUCAAAGAUGGGAGGUUGUUGGGUUUGAUCCAUCAGUUGCUCAAACCAGACCUUAUAAAUGGCAAUUGCAGUUUCUCUGCAAAACAUGCAGCAUUUAGGAGUAACAGCAAGGGUUAGUUGGCUCAGAGUCAGAAUAAAGUGCCUGUGUAGGGUGAUAUGUCUUCUUUCAAACAGAUAGUUUAUGGGCUAGCAUGUUGAAAAUUAGGUGUGGUCAGGUACAAAGUAGGGUGUAUUCAUUAACUUGUUAUCAUCCUGAAAAGUAUGUUACUUUUUGUUGAUACAAUUGCUGCUGUUUUUCAGAAAACAAUCAUUCAGUCUAAUACCUACAGCUGAAGUUUCAAAUGCUAGCUGCUAGUAAUACAUUUUUUCUGUCCAUCCAUCUGUUUUAUACUUUUGAACAGUCUCCUUUUUGUAUCUUUCUGAUGAUUUCAGUUUUCGUCUUGUCUGACGGAGUCAAAAAGUGAGACAUACGUCUGCUGUUUCUGAUGUGGCGGUAUCAACAGUGUAUUAGUUUGUGAUGAGGUCAGUUUAUGGGGAACUGCUAGUUGUAGGUCAAUGAUAUUUGGUAUGCAGUUGUAUUAUCAUUGGAACAUCUCAUUUCCAUGUAGACUAUUUGGCCCACCCCUUUAGUCAUGGUCUAUUGACUUUAAAACUUUUGCUUAGUUUACAUGUAUUAGUUUGUGAUUAGGUCAGUUUAUGGGGAACCACUAGUGGACAGUCAAUGAUAUUUGGUAUGCAGUUGUAUAAGCAUUGGCACAUCUCAUUUCCAUGGAGAUUCCUUGGCCCUGCCCCCUCAGUCAUGGUUCCUUGUUUUUGAAUAUUUUGCAUAACUUACAAGUUAAAGUAUUGCUAUUUUUAUUUCAACAUUUGCAUUAAAGAUCAAAAUAACAAAAAAGCAAGACAUAUCUCUGUGUUAACAGUUUAUUAAUCUAUAAGUGAAUACUUAACUAGCUACUUAACAAGCAUAAAGUGCCAUAUUGAGUUUUAUCAUGGUCAAUUGAAACUUAUAGGAUAGUUUCAGUGUCAGGUUUCCCUUUUCAAAUGCAUUAUGAUAAAAGUGUGUAAUGUAAGGUUCCCCUGAUUCCUAGAAAUUAUUUGGACAUAUUUUGUUUAUUUUUUGUUAUUUAUUAAUAGAUAUGUUAACACUAGAAAGAAUCAUUUUGAAGUUUUUUAUAACAUGUUACAUGUUUUCAUCAGAGAUAUAAAUAAAAUUGAAUAAAAUGUUCAAUAUGAUUUUAAUGUUAAAUGAUCCUGAUAAGCAUCCAAUUUAAUGAUUGGAAUACAAAUGGUAGUAUAUCCACUUUCAUUUCUUGAAAAAAAAAGAUGAAUAAGUAUUUGCAUUUUUUCCCCAACUGUUCAGCUCAAUUUAAUUCUGACAUAGAGCUCAAUGUAUAUCUUACUUAAAGCCAUCUUAAUAUUUGUGAGGUUUUGAAAGCAAUAUUUUGCUUAGGCAGGAGUUUCAGAUCACUUUUUUUUUUAUUUUGGAAUUUUACCUUUGGAAAUUUUGUUUUAAAAUAUGAUAUCUUUUAAAACGUCUUUUUAUAAAAUCAAAAAAUAGAAAUGACCGCUUUCAAGAAAAUUGGAUAAUUUUGGGAGUUACUGGAGAUAGAGUUAGCAUAUAUGAAUAUAAAUGCAUUUCCAUUAUUUAGUAUAUUACAGUAUUUAUUUAUUGUUCAUGCAGAAAGCUUUUCUCUUUCUCCACAAAAUAGUUAUAUAUAUUAAAAUAUAUUUUCUUUGUAACUUUUAAGUAGUGCUGCGUUUGUAAACUGUUGUUAUUUCUCUUAUUACUAUUAUUAUUCGAUUAUUUUACUGUGAUACAUGUUUGUAUGGUAAUAAAACCUUAAAACUUAA